rnacentral:tRNA from 1 species
ACCUUUUUGCUCCGCAAUAAUAAACCCCUCCUAAGGGUUAGUUGUGGGUUCGAUUCCCGCAGGGGGUGCCA